UACGUAGGGUCCGAGCGUUGUUCGGAUUUACUGGGCGUAAAGGGCGCGUAGGCGGCAUAUUAAGUCAGCUGUGAAAUCUCCGAGCUUAACUCGGAACUGUCAGCUGAUACUGAUGUGCUAGAGUGCAGAAAGGGCAAUCAGAAUUCUUGGUGUAGCGGUGAAAUGCGCAGAUAUCGGGAGGAACACCUAUGGCGAAGGCAGCUCGCCGGGACGUUACUGACGCUGAGACGCGAAAGCGUGGGGAGCAAACAGG
rnacentral:rRNA from 1 species